rnacentral:lncRNA from 1 species
UUACAGCUGCUUACUCAGUACUGAGAACCUACAUAGUUCCUCCUUUUCCAUAUCUGCUAUGUUUCUGACAACUGCCAAAUCAGAGCUUUAACCUUUCUGCACAUUAUUACCCAGAGUUGGAAAAAAUAAAAUUAAAAAAUAUACAGCCAGCCCUCUGUAUCAACAGAUUCAACCCAUCCAUGGCUUGAAAGUUGUUACAUGUUAAAAUUCCAGAGCACAAACAUUGAUUUUAUAUGAAAUAAACCAUUUUUCUACACCAUUGUAUAUAAUGAGACUUGAGCAUCCACAGAUUUAGGUAUCCACAGGGGGGUCCUGGAACCAAACUCCAGCAGAUACCAAGGGCUUUCUGUAGCCACUUGCAGUAGCAUGUGCUGUUUAGAUUUAGGGACAUGUUUUCCAGCAGGAUGGCAGGAUAUCCUCAACUGACAUGUCUCCUCCCAUACACCAGAAGGCAGAAGAUUACUAGUCAUCUCUACCCUAUGUGGAAAGAUAACCUAACCCACCCAGUUUUCUGAUCCUGCCUAACCAUAGGGAUUAUUCCCACUUUUUAUCUUGCCAAGUUCAUUCUCAGCUCUAUCUGGAACCAUGAAGGUGGAGGAUAGUCAAUGAUGUCCAGCAAUAGCUCAGGCAGUCUCUCAAAGGACUACAACGGAAGGAGUCUUCUCUGAAAACGUUGAAGAUGAGAUCACCUUGUAGGGUGAUGAGAACCUCAACACCCCUCCCAUAUGCAAUAUUUGCAGCAGCUGUGUUGAUGCCACUGACACUUUGUCCUCAUCUGCUACUGCCGAGGGCUACAACAAAGAUGGGGUGAAUGUGAGGGGUCUGCUUUCACAUUCUCCACAAAAAUUAGGAAGCUCCUAGCUAUGCAGAACACCCCAAAAAUAGAUGGUUUGGAGUGUGCCCUAGAUUUUUCUCCCCAUCACUGACAAGUUCAUCCUGUUUCAGCUACCUAAAGCGGGGGGGGGGGGGGGGCUUCUCCCAUGUCUAUCAAAGAGGCGUCUUCUAAGAAACUCCUUCUUUAUGGGGUGAACACAAACGUCAGCACUCUUUUUCGGAUUCUUUUACUUCCUCCCCGGAUGCUCAGCUCCCAGAUUAUCCCGCCUCUGCUGGUGUUUGGGUGGUUAAACAGACACAUCACUCAGCCACUGGUUCUCAUUAAAGAGGAGCAACUUGAGAAACUGCAAGCCGCUUCUGGUGUGAGCAACUUCUGCCUCUAAUAGGAAGAAGGAGAGCUAUGAGGGGAACAGCUAAAUGCAUAUAUCCUCCUCAUCUCAAAGCACAAGGAGGCUUCUUCAGUUUGACAGCUUCUUGGGGUUGGAAUUAUUGAGCUUUUCAGAGUUUGCUUUUGUGCCUCCAAAACUGAAGGAGAAUCUGAAGCCCUUAAGGUGAGUGUGUAUGCAGUGCCGCAUCCCUGCUAUCUCCUUUUAUUCUU